rnacentral:lncRNA from 1 species
GCCUUUGACAAAAUUCAACAACCCUUCAUGCUAAAAACUCUCAAUAAAUUAGGUAUUGAUGGGACGUAUUUCAAAUUAAUAAGAGGAAACACUUUUCAACAUGUUUUAUGAGUCUACCGUUAUCCCCAUACCAAAACCAUAAAACAGACAUUACAAGAAAAUGUCCUGUAGACAAAUAUGUAUUUUGAUGAUGAAUUUAGAUUUCAAAAACUUCAGCAAAAUAUUAUCCAAUUAAAUCCUCUCAUGUCUGUGUGUGUGUGUGUGUGCAUGCACGUGUGUUUGUAAAAUAUAUCAUUACUAAUUGGCGUUUAUCUUGGGAGUUCAAGAUGGUUUCCAUAUUCAAUCAACCCAUCAAUGUGGACUAUGGUCACUUGAAAAGACCAGCAAAUCCUCUGCACAAAAGGCCACUAGAAAUUCAUUAAAGCAGCCUUCCAUCAUUCUCGAAAUUGACCAAAGCAUUCAACUACCUGAGAAAUAUUUAUGUUUGGAAAGCUAUUGAAAUGCAAUUAAAAAUAUCAGGAAACCUGUUUUUACCUUUUGUCCUAAUCUUGCUAAAUCCUUCUUAAUUUUAGGAGACACUGCUUCUCCUUCCACUGUUCUUUUACUUUCUCCUUCCCCUUUGUUUUUGCCUCCCCCUUCCUCUCCCUUUUCUACAUUCCUUCUCUCUCCUAAAUGCUGUAUAAAUUUCUACAUAUGUAAUCAUAUUAUUUACAAAUAGGAACAGUUUUACUUAUUUCUUUCCAGUCUGCAUUUAUUUUAUUCUUCCUUUUUUUCCUUACACACUGGAUAGAACUCUAAGUAUUAUGUUGAAAAAGAGUGAUAAAAGCAAACAUCUUUGCUUUAUUCCUGAGCAUACAUGUGGAAAACAUUCAGUGUUUCACAGCUAAAUAUGAUGGAUUUUUUGUAUGCUCUUUAUCAAGAUGAAGGAAUUUUCUGCUAUUUCUGGUUUGCUGAAUUUUUAUCACAAGUAACUGUUGAAUAGUGUCUUUUUCCCCUGCAUUUAUUGAACUGAUCAUGCAUUCUCCUAUUUUAGAAUAUUAAUAUGAUGAACUAUAUUAUUAGAUUUUUUAAAAUAUUGCAACUGUCUUGCAUUUCUGGAAUAAACAUGGCUUGGUCAUGUGUCACUUUUUUACAUAGUGUCGUAUUCAAGUUGUCGAGGAUUUUGCAUCUAGGGUAUAUUUGUAGAUUUGCAUCUAGGUUAUGUUGGUCUAAAGUUUUGUUUGUUUGUUUUCCUUUUCUUUUUUUUUAUCAUCUUUGUCUUCUUCUGUUUAAGUGUCAUGCUUGCUUCAUAAAAUGAAUUGAGAAGCAUUUCUUCCUCUUCUGUUUCUCGAAAAUUGUAGAGAACUCUUGUUUUUUGUUGUUGUUUGUUUGUUGUUUUGUUUUUUCUUAUUUUUAUCCUCAUACUGAGAACCAAACAGUCUGGAGUGUAAAACAUGGUUCCUCAUUCCAGUUAAAUCUAGUAUACAAUGACAACAACCCUCUUGGGUUAAGCAUUGGCCUACAAACAGAAAAAAACCUUCAGGGAGAUAGAUGCUGAUCUAGGCAUUGUGAGAAAAGCUGAAUUCAUUUUUAAUCAUGAAUGGCUUUUAAGGAAAGAAGAUUUAUUAACUAAAAUAAAUAGAUUAGAGGGAAUUCUCACCUAUGAGAGAGGAAGGGAUGGGAUUCAACCUGGAAAAAGUAAUGAAGUUUUAGUGAACUUGGUAAGGUAGACUCAACAAUUAAUGAUGGAUAAUGCUAGGACCCAACACUGGUAAUGAGUUUGUAUUAUGACUCAAUAGCAUCACUUUAUCACUUUAACACAGAUGGAGGCCUAAAUAACCAUAGGGUAAUGGUUCUUCUUAGAUGCAGAAGGACACAUUUAUAUAAUCUUAGGGACCCCAUCUCUGAGGUCACUCAUAAUUUAUAUUAAUUCAUUGUUAUUGCCAUUGCCCCAAGAAUAGAUAAGGAUAAGACAUCCUGUAGUACAGGUAGCAGAGAUAUAAACUAUUCUUAUUCUUGUGUCUUGUCUAUAGGAAGGGAGUGUAUCCUGGUGUAAGACAGCAUAUAGUAGAGACCAUUGUCAAUUAGGGCCUGUGAACUAAGACAGGGUGACUGGCUAAGUCCACAACCCAUUAGAAACCCAGAAAUAAUCAAAUCAUGAGGGAUCAUGGAAAGGAAGCUGAAUUUGCCAAGUUUUGCCACUUGGGCAUUGCAUGCCUAUGUGAUUAACCACCAAUAAAAACCUGGGACAUCAAAGAAUAAAUAAGCUGCUCUAAUUGCCAAGAAUUCACAUGUGGUUGUAUGCAGCUUUACUGGGAGACUGAAGUGUAUCUGCAUGUGAUUCUGCUGUGAUGGACACUUGUAAGUUUGUGCCUGGAGUCUCCUGGACUUUGCCCUGAGAAUCUUUUUCCUUUGUUGAUAUGACUCUGCAUCCUUUUGUUUUAAUAAACUGUAAACAUGAGUAUAAUUGCUUCUCUGAGUUCUGAGAGUUUUUUAAAUAAUCAAAGCUGAAGAGCAAUGGAGACCCCCACCAAAACAUCUUUACACAUUUCAAUUUUGUAUUGAAGUAAAUUUUAUUUUCUUUUUUAUACCUCCCAUAUAUAUUCUAUUUUUCUCAUUAUUAUUUAUUUUAUCCCAAAUCUUUUAUCUGUGAUCAUUUUCCUUUGUUUGAAAUUUGUCUUUUGACGUUUCUUUGGAAGGUGCUUUUGGAUGAUAAAUUUUCUGUUAUUCUUUGUCUAAAAUGUCAUUAUUUUGACUCAUUUAUAAAAGGAGUUUUUGUGUUUUAUAAACCUCUAAUGUAUAGAAGUGUGUCUAAACUCAUUGAGGAUAUUUUCCAAAUUUUUUCCUACUUUUUAUUGCUGUUGAUAAGAAGUCAGUGUUGGUAUUUUGACAUUUAAGUUAUGUGUCAUUUUGUUGUGGUAGUUCUGAAGAUCUUCCCUCUGUUUUAUAUUCUCCUUCACCUUUCAUAAAUGUACUUUAUAUUUAUUUGGUAAUAAAUUUUGAACAUAUACUAUGCUAUAAAGAUAAUCUAGGCCCUUUGGUUACAUCUUGUAAAUAAAAUCAACAAAAUCUGUUUUGAGAUUAUAUUGUAAUAUAAGAUACCCAAAGUAACUAGGAUGUGUACCAUAUGUUUGAAGGUGGUAAAUACGAUGAGAAAAAUAGAUCAGGUCAGGAAGAAUGAAGAUGAUUGAAGGUACAGUUUAUGAUGAAAACUUAGGUGUGCCGAGGAAUGAUUCAUCUUAUGUAUCUUGAGUGUAAUGUCUUAUUUCUCCUGAAUCUGAGAAUUUGAUGUCUUUCAUUAGGGAUGUCAGUAAAUCUCACUAAUGAAUAUAUUAGACUCCAGUUUAAUAUAUGAUAGUCAUUUUCAUUCUGUCUUUCAUAUCACUGAAUCCUUUCUCUUUAUUGUUCAUUUUUAUACAUCUCUUAAUAGUCAAAGUGAAUUUAACUAUGUUUUACGUUAUGUGGUUAUUCUCACUUUAGCUAUCUCUAACAUAUUAUGAAUGUGUCAGUUGUGUGUUUACCGUUGUUUGAAUUAAACUUUUAAAUCAUU